rnacentral:rRNA from 1 species
UACGUAGGGGGCGAGCGUUGUCCGGAAUUAUUGGGCGUAAAGAGCUCGUAGGCGGUUCGGCAAGUCACGUGUGAAAUCUCCACGCUCAACGUGGAGGCGCCACGUGAGACUGCUGUGACUCGAGUCCGGUAGGGGAGCGUGGAAUUCCCGGUGUAGCGGUGAAAUGCGCAGAUAUCGGGAAGAACACCCGUGGCGAAGGCGGCUCUCUGGGACGGUACUGACGCUGAGACGCGAAAGCGUGGGGAGCGAACAGG